ACACGGAACACCGUGGAAGGGAAAAGAGUUCUCAGUCAUCUUGCCACCAAAACAGCAUCACUGAGGCAAGGUUACGCAUUUUGGUGUAUUUCUUCCCAGACUCUAUGUUAAUAAAACUUGGUUUGUGAGCAUUUCGCCACCCCAGGAGGGCCAUGGGCCCCCCGUCCGAUUCAUCAAGUGCCUAAUGAGCGGCCCCGGAGGUCCCGGGCCAUCCAUUCCAGAAGCUCUCUCUGCCUUGUAAAGGCUCUCUUGCCUUCGCCAGCUUGUCAGGGUACUGCCAGCUCCGGGCAUGGGGCUGUGUCUGCCCCAACGUGGUGGAGAGCUGGAAUUGGAGCACUCGAGCUUGGGGACAGGUCAGCCUGGGGAAUGGAGACACGGCCAUGGGAGCUGCCCACCUUGAGCCCACAAGAGGAAGGAGCACGGGGAGGAGGUUAUGCUUGUGGGGGGUGCAGAACGAGGGAAAACAGAGAAGCCGGCUUGAACCAUCUCUCUUGCGAUGAGCCCUCUGCAUUAUCACCCACUGGCCCCGAUGCCAGCUGACAGACCUCAUCCAAACACUUGGCUGGGAUUUGGGGACUUCUUUUAACGCCUGCUAGUGAGUUUGCUGGCUUCCUGGAUGCUCAUUUCUGGUUCUGCACAAAAGAGCCACAUUUCCUUUUGGAACCGGGACCAGGAGACAGACAGCAGCAGACAUUGGAAAUUGUUGUGAAGAUUUGAGACUGUGAACGCAAAGGCGGGGCCUAUAGAUCGUGCUGGAUAAAGGUCUCUGGGCCAGUCCCUGGAGCCCCAAAAUAAAUGGGCAGAGGGGGCUGCCUGGCAUCGCGUCUUGGCCACCUACCAGCCGGACACCCCAGCACUCUCGCGGCCCUGCUGCCAGCAUGAGACGUGGCUGUGCCGGCCUGAGGAAGGACAAAGAACGCGCAGCCCGCUCGCCCGGUCAGCGCCGUGGAGCUCCUG